GAAAGCGUAAUAGCUCACUAGUCGAGUCGGCCUGCGCGGAAGAUGUAACGGGGCUAAAACUAUAUGCCGAAGCUGCGGAUUUGCAAUUUAUUGCAAGUGGUAGGGGAGCGUUCUGUAAGCCGAUGAAGGUGGAUUGAGAAGUCUGCUGGAGGUAUCAGAAGUGCGAAUGCUGACGUGAGUAACGACAAAGCGGGUGAAAAACCCGCUCGCUGAAAGACCAAGGGUUCCAGUCCAACGUUAAUCGGGGCUGGGUGAGUCGACCCCUAAGGCGAGGCCGAGAGGCGUAGUCGAUGGGAAAUUGGUUAAUAUUCCAAUACUUCUGUGUAAUGCGAUGAGAGGACGGAGAAGGUUAAGUCAGCCUGGCGUUGGUUGUCCAGGUGGAAGGUUGUAGGCAUGUAUCUUAGGCAAAUCCGGGGUACUCUAUGCUGAGAACUGAUAGCAAGCUGUACUUGUACAGUGAAGUGGCUGAUACCAUGCUUCCAGGAAAAGUCUCUAAGCUUCAGUUACACAGGAAUCGUACCCGAAACCGACACAGGUGGUCAGGUCGAGUAGACCAAAGCGCUUGAGAGAACUCUGCUGAAGGAACUAGGCAAAAUGGUACCGUAACUUCGGGAGAAGGUACGCUGCCGGCGGUGAUAGGACUUGCUCCUUGAGCUGUUGGCAGCCUCAGAAACCAGGCCCCUGCAACUGUUUAUUAAAAACAUAGCACUCUGCAAACACGAAAGUGGACGUAUAGGGUGUGAUGCCUGCCCGGUGCUGGAAGGUUAAUUGAUGGGGUUAGCGUAAGCGAAGCUCUUGAUCGAAGCCCCAGUAAACGGCGGCCGUAACAAUAACGGUCCUAAGGUAGCGAAAUUCCUUGUCGGGUAAGUUCCGACCUGCACGAAUGGCAUAAUGAUGGCGGCGCUGUCUCCAGCAGAGGCUCAGUGAAAUCGAAAUCGCUGUGAAGAUGCAGUGUACCCGCGGCUAGACGGAAAGACCCCGUGAACCUUUACUGCAGCUUGACAUUGAACUUUGAUCUUACUUGUGUAGGAUAGGUGGGAGGCUUUGAAGUGGCGACGCUAGUUGCCAUGGAGCCGUCCUUGAAAUACCACCCUGGUAAUAUUGAGGUUCUAACUCUGUCCCGUUAUCCGGGACGAGGACCAUGUCUGGUGGGUAGUUUGACUGGGGCGGUCUCCUCCUAAAGAGUAACGGAGGAGUACGA
rnacentral:rRNA from 1 species